AGUGAACGCUGGCGGUAGGCCUAACACAUGCAAGUCGAACGGCAGCACAGUAAGAGCUUGCUCUUACGGGUGGCGAGUGGCGGACGGGUGAGGAAUACAUCGGAAUCUACUUUUUCGUGGGGGAUAACGUAGGGAAACUUACGCUAAUACCUCAUACGACCUACGGGUGAAAGCAGGGGAUCUUCGGACCUUGCGCGAGUGAAUGAGCCGAUGUCGUAUUAGCUAGUUGGCGGGGUAAAGGCCCACCAAGGCGACGAGCCGUAGCUGGUCUGAGAGGAUGAUCAGCCACACUGGAACUGAGACACGGUCCAGACUCCUACGGGAGGCAGCAGUGGGGAAUAUUGGACAAUGGGCGCAAGCCUGAUCCAGCAAUACCGCGUGGGUGAAGAAGGCCUUAGGGUUGUAAAGCCCUUUUGUUGGGAAAGAAAAGCAGCAGGUUAAUACCCCGCUGUUCUGACGGUACCCAAAGAAUAAGCACCGGCUAACUUCGUG
rnacentral:rRNA from 1 species